GUGUGUAUAGCUCAGUGGUAGAGCACUUGUCUAGAGUGUACAAGGCCUGGGUUCAACUCCCAGCACCACA
rnacentral:tRNA from 1 species